rnacentral:misc_RNA from 1 species
UAAUAAGUGUUUUAUGGCACUUUUUUAAAUCCAUAUCCACCUUGUGUGCAAUGUCAGUCGAUCUUCUUCAUGGAGGUCGACCCAAACAUCAACCUUUAUUUUUUAACUCUUUGUCUGAAAAAUAUUAUGAAUAAACAAUUCAAAAUA